GUGAUCUAGCCAUGGGCAGGUUGAAGGUUGGGUAACACUAACUGGAGGACCGAACCGACUAAUGUUGAAAAAUUAGCGGAUGACUUGUGGCUGGGGGUGAAAGGCCAAUCAAACCGGGAGAUAGCUGGUUCUCCCCGAAAGCUAUUUAGGUAGCGCCUCGUGAAUUCAUCUCCGGGGGUAGAGCACUGUUUCGGCAAGGGGGUCAUCCCGACUUACCAACCCGAUGCAAACUGCGAAUACCGGAGAAUGUUAUCACGGGAGACACACGGCGGGUGCUAACGUCCGUCGUGAAGAGGGAAACAACCCAGACCGCCAGCUAAGGUCCCAAAGUCAUGGUUAAGUGGGAAACGAUGUGGGAAGGCCCAGACAGCCAGGAUGUUGGCUUAGAAGCAGCCAUCAUUUAAAGAAAGCGUAAUAGCUCACUGGUCGAGUCGGCCUGCGCGGAAGAUGUAACGGGGCUAAACCAUGCACCGAAGCUGCGGCAGCGACACUAUGUGUUGUUGGGUAGGGGAGCGUUCUGUAAGCCUGUGAAGGUGGCCUGUGAGGGUUGCUGGAGGUAUCAGAAGUGCGAAUGCUGACAUAAGUAACGAUAAAGCGGGUGAAAAGCCCGCUCGCCGGAAGACCAAGGGUUCCUGUCCAACGUUAAUCGGGGCAGGGUGAGUCGACCCCUAAGGCGAGGCCGAAAGGCGUAGUCGAUGGGAAACAGGUUAAUAUUCCUGUACUUGGUGUUACUGCGAAGGGGGGACGGAGAAGGCUAUGUUGGCCGGGCGACGGUUGUCCCGGUUUAAGCGUGUAGGCUGGUUUUCCAGGCAAAUCCGGAAAACCAAGGCUGAGGCGUGAUGACGAGGCACUACGGUGCUGAAGUGACAAAUGCCCUGCUUCCAGGAAAAGCCUCUAAGCAUCAGGUAACAUCAAAUCGUACCCCAAACCGACACAGGUGGUCAGGUAGAGAAUACCAAGGCGCUUGAGAGAACUCGGGUGAAGGAACUAGGCAAAAUGGUGCCGUAACUUCGGGAGAAGGCACGCUGAUAUGUAGGUGAAGCGACUUGCUCGUGGAGCUGAAAUCAGUCGAAGAUACCAGCUGGCUGCAACUGUUUAUUAAAAACACAGCACUGUGCAAACACGAAAGUGGACGUAUACGGUGUGACGCCUGCCCGGUGCCGGAAGGUUAAUUGAUGGGGUUAGCGGUAACGCGAAGCUCUUGAUCGAAGCCCCGGUAAACGGCGGCCGUAACUAUAACGGUCCUAAGGUAGCGAAAUUCCUUGUCGGGUAAGUUCCGACCUGCACGAAUGGCGUAAUGAUGGCCAGGCUGUCUCCACCCGAGACUCAGUGAAAUUGAACUCGCUGUGAAGAUGCAGUGUACCCGCGGCAAGACGGAAAGACCCCGUGAACCUUUACUAUAGCUUGACACUGAACAUUGAGCCUUGAUGUGUAGGAUAGGUGGGAGGCUUUGAAGUGUGGACGCCAGUCUGCAUGGAGCCGACCUUGAAAUACCACCCUUUAAUGUUUGAUGUUCUAACGUUGGCCCCUAAUCGGGGUUGCGGACAGUGUCUGGUGGGUAGUUUGACUGGGGCGGUCUCCUCCUAAAGAGUAACGGAGGAGCACGAAGGUUGGCUAAUCCUGGUCGGACAUCAGGAGGUUAGUGCAAUGGCAUAAGCCAGCUUGACUGCGAGCGUGACGGCGCGAGCAGGUGCGAAAGCAGGUCAUAGUGAUCCGGUGGUUCUGAAUGGAAGGGCCAUCGCUCAACGGAUAAAAGGUACUCCGGGGAUAACAGGCUGAUACCGCCCAAGAGUUCAUAUCGACGGCGGUGUUUGGCACCUCGAUGUCGGCUCAUCACAUCCUGGGGCUGAAGUAGGUCCCAAGGGUAUGGCUGUUCGCCAUUUAAAGUGGUACGCGAGCUGGGUUUAGAACGUCGUGAGACAGUUCGGUCCCUAUCUGCCGUGGGCGCUGGAGAACUGAGGGGGGCUGCUCCUAGU
rnacentral:rRNA from 1 species